CCUACGGGAGGCUGCAGUAGGGAAUCUUUCACAAUGGGCGAAAGCCUGAUGGAGCAACGCCGCGUGCAGGAUGAAGGCCUUCGGGUUGUAAACUGCUUUUAUAAGCGAGAAAUAUGACGGUAACUUAUGAAUAAGGAUCGGCUAACUACGUGCCAGCAGCCGCGGUCAUACGUAGGAGCCGAGCAUUAUCCGGAGUGACUGGGUGUAAAGAGUUGCGUAGGUGGCAUAAUAAGUAGCUAGUGAAAUCUGGUGGUUCAACCAUUCAGACUAUUAGCUAAACUGUUAAGCUCGAGACCGUUAGAGGUAGCUGGAAUUUCUAGUGUAGGAGUGAAAUCCGUAGAUAUUAGGAGGAACACCAAUAGCGUAGGCAGGUUGCUGGGACGGUUCUGACGCUAAGGCACGAAAGCGUAGGGAGCAAACAGGAUUAGAUACCCUUGUAGUC
rnacentral:rRNA from 1 species